rnacentral:rRNA from 1 species
UACGUAGGGUCCAAGCGUUGUCCGGAUUUAUUGGGCGUAAAGAGCUCGUAGGCGGCUCGGUAAGUCGGAUGUGAAACCUCCAGGCUCAACCUGGAGUCGCCAUCCGAUACUGCUGUGGCUUGAGUCCGGUAGGGGAGCAUGGAAUUCCUGGUGUAGCGGUGAAAUGCGCAGAUAUCAGGAGGAACACCAGUGGCGAAGGCGGUGCUCUGGGCCGGUACUGACGCUGAGGAGCGAAAGCGUGGGGAGCAAACAGGAUUAGAAACCCCCGUAGUCC